CAGCAGCCGCGGUAAUACAGAGGGUGCGAGCGUUAAUCGGAUUUACUGGGCGUAAAGCGUGCGUAGGCGGCUUUUUAAGUCGGAUGUGAAAUCCCUGAGCUUAACUUAGGAAUUGCAUUCGAUACUGGGAAGCUAGAGUAUGGUAGAGGAUGGUAGAAUUCCAGGUGUAGCGGUGAAAUGCGUAGAGAUCUGGAGGAAUACCGAUGGCGAAGGCAGCCAUCUGGCCUAAUACUGACGCUGAGGUACGAAAGCAUGGGGAGCAAACAGGAUUAGAUACCCCAGUAGUCCCUGUCUCUUAUAA
rnacentral:rRNA from 1 species